rnacentral:rRNA from 1 species
UCUGUAGGUGGAACCCGCCGUUGGGUCAGU